rnacentral:lncRNA from 10 species
AUUCAGCUGAGACUCUCUUGAGCAAAUUUUCCAAGACUCCUUAAGGGGAAGGACCUGGUCCAAGUUGACUUGGUGUCUCCGUCAUCAAGCACAAUGCCUGGUUCACAAUGGACUCUUCAUGCAUCUCUUUCUACAAGAUGAGAAGGAUCAGAGGGCUGCUGGAGGAAGUAAAGAAGAAAAUAUAAACAGCAGUUAGCAUGAUGCCUGGCACAUGGUGUGCAUUCAGGAUAUAACUGGGGCCUUUGGGAACCAGGCAAUAUUCCAGACACACAUGACAUCAGUAACAUCCAUAUGUCUGUGAUGGGGUAGGAGAGAAGACUACUUUUCAGGUGGGACAUUUUGAUUGGAGAGGGUCUCUGAUUCAGAGAGUGAGAAUGUUAGAGUUCCCUCGCCGAUGUGCCUAGCACUGUGCCAUGUGUUAUAAAGGACGUUGAAAAGAUGAACUUCAUCACCUUGUGGAAGAAGCAGACACAUUUUAGAAGCAAAGAAACAACACAGAGUUAAUGUGGAGAACAGAGGAUGAGAUAGGGGAAAGAAAAAGGCAGCUGCUGACAGGCGGGAGCUGGCCUGGCAUGUCCAGCUAGUCUCUCCCGCUGUCCUCCUGAACAGGAACAAUUUCACAAAUGAUAAACGUCAGAUAAGGACCACUCUGCAGCUAAUGAUGGAGAAAGACAAACACAAGACUGGCCCAUAAUUGUGUCUGAGCACAAACAAAAGCAAGAACAUUGUCCAAAGCAUAAGAAUCAUAAAAUAUCUUUAUUUCCUGCCUUAUGCCUGCUUCUUUAUCAAUAAUAACAAUAAUAAUAAUAAUAAUAAUAAUAAAUAAAGUAGAGUUUUAGGUCAACUUCAUUCCUCUUGACCCCUAGAUAAGCCCUAGUCAUGGAACUGGCCUCCCUUCCUGACAUAUCCAAUCCCUGCUUCCUUGAAACCUCCUCCACAGUGUACGGCACAAGCCCAAAUCCUGCAAGAAGCUCUGCUCAGUCUCUUACACUGAUGCCUCAUGGUUCUCCACGGUGCACCAUUUCCUCCAAUGCAUUGGAUCAAUAAACCCAACUUUGUUUGAUGAAAGUGUGUUCCUAGUGGUCGUUGACUAAUGGACAUCCACAAAUGGAAAAAGACAUGGUGGGACGUGUACGAGAAACACCAGACAAGUGGUCUGGAUAUUUAUGACUCCGGGGAUUCCACCAGAGAUGUUUGGAAGUCGUUUAAAUUCAGUUUUCUCCAUUUCUCUUGCCCCUUCCAUUGUGAAAGGAAAUUGACACCCUCUUAUUUCUUUUUUCUGUUAGCCAUAAGGCCAUGGUGUAGAGUAGUAGAUUUCAACCUUGGUUGCACAUUAGAAUCACUUGGGUACGUUAUUUUUUUUGGUAGAAUUUUAUUUUGUUUAUUUUUUUUUUUACAGUUCCCUGAGUUUUUUUUUUUUUUUUUUUUUUUUUAAGUUUUUAUUUCCAUAGGCUUUUGGGAAGCAGGCGGUAUUUGGUUACAUAAGUAAGUUCUUCAGUGGUGAUUUGUGAGAUCUCGGUGCACCCACCAUCCGAGCAGUACUCACUGAACCCACUUUGUAGUAUCUUAUCCCUUACUCCCUCCCCGCUUUCCCUCUGAGUCCCCAAAGUCCAUUGUAUCAUUCUUGCGCCUUUGCAUCCUCAUAGCUUAGCUCCCACUUAUGAGUGAGAACAUAUGAUGUUUGGUUUUCCAUUCCUGAGUUACUUCACUUAGAAUAAUUAUCUCCAGUCCCAUCCAGGUUGCUGUGAAUACCAUUAAUUCAUUCAUUUUUAUGGCUGAGUAGUAUUCCACCAUAUGUACAAUGAACUCAAAUUAGCAAGGAAAAACAAAUAAUCCCAUCAAAAAGUGGGCUAAGGACAUGAAUACACAGUUCUCAAUAGAAGAUAUACAAAUGGGCACAAACAUAUGAAAAAAUGUUCAACAUCACUAAUGAUCGGGGAAAUGCAAAUCAAAACCACAAUGUGAUACCACCUUAUUCCUGCAAGAAUGGCCAUAAUCAAGAAAAUAAAAAAAUAAUAGAUGUUGGCAUGGAUGAAGUGAAAAGGGAACACUUCUACUCUGCUAGUUGGAAUGUAAACUAGUACAACCACUAUGGAAAACAUUGUGAAUAUUCCUUGAAGAACUGAAAAUAAAACUACCAUUUGAUCCAGCAAUCCCACUACUGGGUACCUACCCAGAGGACAAGAAGUCAUAAUACAAAAAAGAUACUUGUACAGACAUGUUUAUAGCAGCACAAUUCACAAUUGCAAAAAUGUGGAAGUAGCCCAAAUGGUCAUCAGUCAGUAAGUGGAUAAAGAAACUGUGAUAAAUAUAUACAUUGGAUAGAUUUAAAGCCAGAUAUGUACCUGGCUUUCAGCUCCAGAGAUACUGACUUAACUGGUGUGAGCUGUGGCCUGAGCAUCAGAAUUUUUUAAAGCUCCCAG